GAUGAACGCUGGCGGCGUGCCUAAUACAUGCAAGUCGAGCGAAUGGAUUAAGAGCUUGCUCUUAUGAAGUUAGCGGCGGACGGGUGAGUAACACGUGGGUAACCUGCCCAUAAGACUGGGAUAACUCCGGGAAACCGGGGCUAAUACCGGAUAACAUUUUGAACUGCAUGGUUCGAAAUUGAAAGGCGGCUUCGGCUGUCACUUAUGGAUGGACCCGCGUCGCAUUAGCUAGUUGGUGAGGUAACGGCUCACCAAGGCAACGAUGCGUAGCCGACCUGAGAGGGUGAUCGGCCACACUGGGACUGAGACACGGCCCAGACUCCUACGGGAGGCAGCAGUAGGGAAUCUUCCGCAAUGGACGAAAGUCUGACGGAGCAACGCCGCGUGAGUGAUGAAGGCUUUCGGGUCGUAAAACUCUGUUGUUAGGGAAGAACAAGUGCUAGUUGAAUAAGCUGGCACC
rnacentral:rRNA from 1 species